GAGGAGCCUGCGGCAGAUUAGCUAGUUGGUGAGGUAAUGGCUCACCAAGGCUGCGAUCUGUAGCUGGUCUGAGAGGACGGCCAGCCACACUGGCACUGACACACGGGCCAGACUCCUACGGGAGGCAGCAGUGGGGAAUUUUGGGCAAUGGGCGAAAGCCUGACCCAGCAACGCCGCGUGAGGGAGGAAAUCCUUCGGGAUGUAAACCUCACAAGUAAGGGAAGAGUGCUGCGGGCUGAAUAAUUCCGCAGUUCGACGGUACCUUACGUAAGCCACGGCUAACUACGUGCCAGCAGCCGCGGUAAUACGUAGGUGGCAAGCGUUGUUCGGAAUUAUUGGGCGUAAAGGGCGCGUAGGCGGCUUGUUAAGUCGGCUGUGAAAGCCCGGGGCUCAACCCCGGAGGGUCGGCCGAUACUGGCGAGCUAGAGUACGGAAGAGGUAGCUGGAAUUCCCGGUGUAGCGGUGAAAUGCGUAAAUAUCGGGAGG
rnacentral:rRNA from 1 species